rnacentral:rRNA from 2 species
CAUAACGACUCUCGGCAACGGAUAUCUCGGCUCUCGCAUCGAUGAAGAACGUAGCGAAAUGCGAUACUUGGUGUGAAUUGCAGAAUCCCGUGAACCAUCGAGUCUUUGAACGCAAGUUGCGCCCGAAGCCUCUUUGGCCAAGGGCACGCCUGCCUGGGCGUCACGCA